CCUUUCUUCACCCGAACCCACUUCUUCCCUCUCUCUAUCUCCCCGAUCUCCUCCUCAAAUCUCACCCGAAAUCUCCCCCUCUCCGGCGAUUUCUCCUCUCCGCCUCUCGGUGUCGCCGGUGCAAGCAACCACCGGAGCUUUGAAGGCCUCACCGCGUCGCCUGAGGAUUGUUGCCCGAAUCUUGAAGGUGCUGACGCUGUCCAAGCCUUCCCCGGUGGAGUGAUCGCCUUCUCGGCCAUUUUUGCGCUCGAUCGGUGGGAUCCGAUCUAGGGCACAGCGAGCUCCACACUUGCUGGAUCAGAUUGGGACAACACCAUCCGGAGGUAGUCGAUCAAG